rnacentral:rRNA from 1 species
UACGAAGGUCCCAAGCGUUGUUCGGAAUCACUGGGCGUAAAGGGUGCGUAGGCGGUUUGGUAAGUCAGAUGUGAAAUCCCGGGGCUCAACCCCGGAACUGCAUCCGAUACUGCCAGACUAGAGGACUGGAGAGGUGACUGGAAUUUUCGGUGUAGCAGUGAAAUGCGUAGAGAUCGAGAGGAACAUUCGUGGCGAAGGCGAGUCACUGGACAGUAUCUGACGCUGAGGCACGAAGGCCAGGGUAGCGAAAGGG